GACGAAGGUGGCGAGCGUUGUUCGGAAUCACUGGGCAUAAAGCGCACGUAGGCGGCGACGUAAGUUGGGUGUGAAAUCCCUCGGCCCAACCGAGGAACUGCGCCCAGUACUGCGUUGCUUGAGGAUCCAAGGGGUGCAUGGAAUUCCCGGUGGAGCGGUGAAAUGCGUUGAUAUCGGGAGGAACUCCGGCGGCGAAAGCGGUGCACUGGUGGAUUUCUGACGCUGAGGUGCGAAAGCCAGGGGAGCAAACAGG
rnacentral:rRNA from 1 species